UGGGAUGUAGCCAAGUUGGUAAGGCUUCGGAAUUUGGAUCCGAGAUCAAAGGUUCGAACCCUUUCAUUCCAG
rnacentral:tRNA from 1 species